UACGUAGGGCGCGAGCGUUGUCCGGAAUUAUUGGGCGUAAAGAGCUCGUAGGCGGCUUGUUGCGUCUGCUGUGAAAUCCCGGGGCUUAACCCCGGGCGUGCAGUGGAUACGGGCAGGCUGGAGGCAGGCAGGGGAGAAUGGAAUUCCCGGUGUAGCGGUGAAAUGCGCAGAUAUCGGGAGGAACACCAGUGGCGAAGGCGGCACCCUGGACCAGCACUGACACUGAGGCACGAAAGCGUGGGGAGCAAACAGG
rnacentral:rRNA from 1 species